ensembl:misc_RNA 7SK 7SK RNA
GAAUGUGAGGGUGAUCUGACUACAACAUCUGUCACCCCACUGCUGGCUAGGUAGGGGCCCCCUUCCUCCUUUACACUCCAUGUGCAUCCCUCCUGCUCAACCCAGCAGAGACAGACUAGUCUUAGAUUGAGGGUUUACAGUUAGUUGUGCUCCCCUGCUAGAACCUCCAAACAAGCUGUCAAGAAACUAUUUACUGAGUAUUUAUUCUACUUUGGAAACUGUCCUGGGUACUGGGGUUCAAUAAACCAGAUUUGAUACCUAUCUUCAAAGAUGA